rnacentral:rRNA from 1 species
UACGUAGGGACCGAGCGUUGUCCGGAUUCAUUGGGCGUAAAGAGCUCGUAGGCGGCCACUCAAGUCGAAUGUGAAACCUCGAGGCUUAACCUCGAGCCUGCAUUUGAUACUGGGCGGCUAGAGUCUGGUAGGGGGAUCUGGAAUUCCUGGUGUAGCGGUGAAAUGCGCAGAUAUCAGGAGGAACACCGGUGGCGAAGGCGGGUCUCUGGGCCGAAAUUGACGCUGAGGAGCGAAAGCGUGGGGAGCAAACAGG